ACUCGAUAGUAUACACUCAGUUUCAGGUUCCACUGCUUUUUGCUAAAGUGCGCCACCAUGGGCGCAUUACGCAUCAUCUUCCUCGUCGUCUCUCUUCUUUCCGCCGGCUCCGUCGUCUCCGCCCACAACAUCACGGCUAUCUUGUCGCAGUUUCCUGAGUACAGCGAGUUCAACAGCUACCUCUCACAGACAAAGCUCAGCGACGAGAUCAACAGCCGUGAAACGAUCACCGUUCUGGUGUUGAACAAUGGCGUCGUUUCGUCACUUGCCGCGAAACAUCCACUCUCCGUCGUCAAAAGCGUCUUGAGCCUCCAUAUCCUUUUAGACUACUACGACAACAAGAAGCUUCACGCCAUUUCCGACGGCACCACGCUCUCCACCACCUUGUACCAAACCACCGGAAAUUCCCCAGGAAACGUCGGAUUUGUUAAUAUUACAGAUUUGAAAGGAGGUAAGGUUGGAUUCGGCUCCGCCGUGUCCGGUUCGAAGCUCGAUUCUUCGUACACCAAGUCUGUUAAACAGAUUCCGUAUAACAUUUCGGUUUUGGAGAUCAACGCGCCUAUAAUCGCACCGGGGAUUCUAACAGCGCCUGCUCCAUCGGCUGAUGUUAAUAUUACUGGUUUGUUGGAGAAAGCAGGUUGCAAGACGUUUGUGAAGCUGAUUACUGAUACCGGAGUGCUGAAGGUUUUCCAGACGGCGGCGGAGAAGGGAUUGACGGUGUUUGCUCCGAACGAUGAAGCGUUUAAGGCCGCCGGUGUACCGGAUCUGAGCAAGUUGUCGAAUGCUGAGCUUGUUGCACUGUUACAAUACCACGCUCUCGCUACUUACACUCCGAAAGGCUCGUUGAAAACAACCAAGGAUCCGAUUAGCACACUGGCGACGAACGGCGCCGGAAAGUACGAUCUGACCGUUGAGACCGCCGGAGAUUCCGUUACACUUGAUUCUGGAUUUUCCACUUCGCGUGUUGCUAGCACGGUUCUCGAUUCGACGCCUCUCUGUAUUUUCACCGUCGACAAUGUACUUCUCCCCACUGAAUUGUUUGGUAAAUCUCCAUCUCCAGCUCCAUCUCUUUCACCGGAAACUUCUCCGGCGUCGUCUCCUGCACCUGCUGCUCUAUCUCCGGAACCUGCAGCAGCACCUUCCCCAUUCCUUUCUCCUCCCGCUCCUCCGACUUCAUCUCCCACCGCCGGUCCUGCUCCGUCAGAUGGCCCCACCGCCGACUCCCAAAAUAGCAAUGCUAGCAACGCCGUUGACAGCGUCAAAGCUCCGUCGGUUGUCCAUGCCACAUUUACGCUGUUGGUCUUGAUUAUGUCAUACGUUAUGCUUUGAAUCUGAUUUUCGAUUGUUUGCGCUCUUUUUGUUUA
rnacentral:lncRNA from 1 species